rnacentral:lncRNA from 1 species
CUGACAUUAAGUUUAUUACUUGCUUGAUUAAUGGUUGUCAUAUCUGGUUUUCCUAUUUUAGAGAAGAAAAAAAUAAAAGAAGAAAAAAAGGUUGUACAGGGGAGACUUUACAGACAGGAGCAAGCUGGAUACAAGGCCCUGUCUAUGAGUGGGGAUUAGUUCUGCUUCUUGAAAGGACUGUUACUUACAACAUCAGCCUCCCCACCUACCCUCUGGCUACAGACACGGGCCAUCCUUGCCUUCCCCAGCUUGUUCACCACCAGCUGCUAACCCGGCACCUGUGCCUGGGCAGGCACACUUUGAUCCGAUGCUGGACCUCUGGCUUUUGCACGUGGCUGUCAUGGGUCUUUGAAGGGUUAAAGCCAGUGUGCCCGUGUGUUUGGAGGAAUGGGAUGGUAGUCGUGUUGAAGAACCUGUGCGGUCACUUUGGAUAUGAAGAGGACAUGUAAGGAUGACAUUCCCUUCAAGAGACAUAACACUUGUAACUAUAAAUAAACUUCUCAUGGAGAUCA